rnacentral:rRNA from 1 species
UGGGGAAUAUUGCACAAUGGGCGAAAGCCUGAUGCAGCAACGCCGCGUGAGUGAUGAAGGCCUUCGGGUUGUAAAGCUCUGUCUUUUGGGACGAUAGUGACGGUACCAAAGGAGGAAGCCACGGCUAACUACGUGCCAGCAGCCGCGGUAAUACGUAGGUGGCAAGCGUUGUCCGGAUUUACUGGGCGUAAAGGAUGCGUAGGCGGAUUUUUAAGUGAGAUGUGAAAUACCCGGGCUUAACUUGGGUGCUGCAUUUCAAACUGGGAAUCUAGAGUGCGGGAGAGGAGAAUGGAAUUCCUAGUGUAGCGGUGAAAUGCGUAGAGAUUAGGAAGAACACCAGUGGCGAAGGCGAUUCUCUGGACCGUAACUGACGCUGAGGCAUGAAAGCGUGGGUAGCAAACAGGAUUAGAUACCCUGGUAGUCCACGCCGUAAACGAUGAGUACUAGGUGUAGGAGGUAUCGACCCCUUCUGUGCCGCAGUUAACACAAUAAGUACUCCGCCUGGGAAGUACGAUCGCAAGAUUAAAACUCAAAUGAAUUGACGGGGUCAUAGCUGUUUUCCU